UGCAAGCGUGGCGGUGUGUGUGCUCAGCUUCUGAAGCAGGUAGGCGACUCUCCCUCGCCUCGGGGCACACACUUAGGUGGGGCUUGAGAAAAUAUUUCUGUCUCUUGCACCCGAUUUGCUGCUCCAGCUCCUGCAGAAAGGGCCAACGCUAUUAGCACAAGUAGCACCAUGGCAGGGCUAAUAAAUCACCCCCAUCAUGCAGCACCUUCGCGCGCUUACACACGCGUAACUGCAAAGUCAGCUCUACAGCGUGUAACAGCGUCACCGAGCAAACCGCCUCUCUCCAGUUGACCUGCAGCACUGUCACGUGCUCCCCGUGUCUACCACCACGUCGCCCGUCCUCACCCGAGGCGCUGCUUGGCCACUGUCCGAGGGUGUCCCAUCACCUUAAAAAUCUGUUUUCUGUUCCCGUGCUCCCGUUCUCUCUCUCUCUCUCUCUUUUCCAGCCCAUCCCCCUCUCAUCCAGGGGCUCUUAAAGGAAAACAUUGAGAUAACAGCUGCCAGGGCCCCAGGGAGAGCGGGAGAAGGGAGAAAAGAGAUCAGUGAGGAGAGCGGGAUUCCAAGGCCUAGAGGAGUCCUGCUGUGCUGUGGAGUUUCUAAUGCUAGUGGUUAGCUUCUACUAGCUGAGACGUUCUCUGCUGUUUCCUGAACGCUAAACCAACAACAGCCUUUCCCGUCCUGAGCCAAGAUGGAAGCUGAUGCAGGAGAUGGGUGAUGGAAAGGAUUAAAGCGGCGAAGCACUGUUCCUGCGGAGAGUCAGGACUGCUGUAACAUUUUCCACCUUCAGAAGAUUAACUCCAGAGAUGCACGUCUCUGUAAUUUUAUUGAGGUUUCUGGAAACGGCAUUUGCCAAAGUUGGAAAAAUGAACAUCGUUUAAGAAAUAUUGCCUCCAAGAGUAAUAAAACAUAGUUAUGAAUAAGUCUCUUGUUAUUUACCUCAGCAGGGAGACAGUGAUUACUGUAUAUGACACACAGACUACUGCGGGUGGAAAAUAUAAAAUAAGUUUUGGAACAAAGUUUGAGGUCGAAGCUGGUGCUCCCCAGUCAUUAUGAACAUAGUUUGUGAUUUUCUCAUUUGAUUAGUCUGUUAAUGUGUCAGAAAUAACAAGAGAAUGUUCAUUGUGUUUGAUGGGGAUGGAAUAACAAAUAAAUGGUGUUAAAUAAAGCAAUCACAUCUGCAAGGCUGCAAACUGCAUUGUUAUCAUGGCUGAUGAAAAUUACUCCACUAAUUA